UGUGUGUGUGUGUGAGAGAGAGCCAAUUGCUUGAAUAGCUUGUAAAAGUGACCUAGGACGGAGAAUUCCCAAUUUAUACCAAAAAGUUUCUUCCCUUUUACGUAAUCAUGAAUGGAGAGAUAUUCUACGUAAAAAUACCGUAUCCCAAUAUAAUGAUGGGUAUUUUAGUCGUCAUCCAAAAAGUUACCAUUGAGAUAAGGAAGUUACAUCAGUGAGACAGGUCAUCAACGACAAUGAACAUCAACGUAAGUGAUCAGCGAGUAAAUUGAUGAUGGUCAUCUAGUUAGUUUGUGAUGUCUCCUGAUAGUGUGGGCUUAAACUACCAUUCAACGACAUAGCAUUACGAGAUCUCAUCAGCAUACUGUUUCAUAUGCUGACUCAUUAAUCACUUUUAUUAGAAGAAAAAAGGGCAAGAAUAGGUAGGUGCAUGUAAUAUAUCACGAACAAUGGUAUACCCAUCGACACUAAUUUUUCAAAUUCUCAUCAGUGUUUUGUAUCAUAUGUUGAAUCAUAAAAUUCUAUAGAAUAAUUUAUGGAUAAAAUGGUUUGAUGCGUGUGAUAAGCUGUGGUGUUUUGGCUUAGUCAUUGGCAUAGAUUUGUCAAACUCUCAUCAGCGUAUGGUACAUUGCAUUGAAUCAUAAUGCAUUCAAGAAGAAUAUAAGGGCAAGAAUGGAUUGUUUUAGUCACGCUAAGUUGGAAUUAGUGUGAAUCAUUAACAAGUAUAACUCACGAGCAAGAAAUAUUUUUGAUCCUUGCAUCAAAAAUUUUUAGUUGUAGUCUAGAAUCAAGGAUUCACAUCAAUUCAUAAUGGUACCAUGUCAUACCUCAGUUUAGGAGGUCAUGGACAUGAACAACCCUUUGUCAUUUAAAGAACAGAAAAUUAUCUCUUAUGUUGAUGACUAUGCAAUCAAGGUAAGCUAUUGGGUUAUGCUUAAUAUUUCAGCAGAACAUGAGACUUGAUGCAUACAACAAACAUGCUUCCAGGGACGAAGUCAGGUAAGAGACAAUUGAUUACAAGUGAACACCCAAACAUUUCUAUAUAUUAAUUUGGACCAGGAAAUCUUACUUUGAAAGAUUAGACUAUGCCAGACACUCAACGUGAGGGGGUGACUCAAUGUUCUCAGCAAAUGGUCUCGUUGAUGAGAGACUUAGAGAGAUUUAGUCACAUACAACAUCAUGCUUCUAGGGACAAUAAAUUGUUAAUUGUUACAUAUUGGCUUGAAAAAUUCCAUCGACAACAUCAAUAAGAGUGGUACAAAAGGAAUUAAUGACAAAUAAUAUAAGAAUACAAACAAAAGAGUUAAUCAAACGAGGAAAUAUUCUAAAAGUAAAAUAUGUGCAACUUUUUCAGAAGCAUGAUAAAGACUUGAUCCAUCAAAUCUUUUGAAUCGAAUGGCCAUAAAUGCACUUCCAUUUUCCAAGAUAUCUGCCCUUCAAGUUUGGAUAUAAAAGAAGGCAAUAAAAGAUAAUUUAUAUAAAACAAGAAACACAAUUCAUAGUAAACAAAGAGAGAGAGAGAGAGAGAGAGAGAGAGAGAGAAUGCAUGUAAUCAUUGAGAUUUUACUAAUUGACUCCAAGCUUAUAUCCACUAAGAACGGAGGAGGAGCAUGAGCUAGUAUUUUUAACCAACGAGUUAAAAGGAUCCAAUAUUUGUAACCUUAGAGUUAUAAAAGUCACAAAUAGAAAACUCGAAGGUUCCAUUCAUUGUGAUCCAUGGAGGAAGAGAAGGUGGGACCACUAUCUUGUUGAAGAUGCCUUUGGAUCUCUGAAGGGAUGGUGUAUAUGUGACAACAUCUAUGGAAACUAGACGUGCUAUGUCACCUAACUUGACUUCAUCCCAUUGAAGCAUAAAUAGUUUGUUCAAGACGUAAGAGAUAUAUGUCUAGAAGAGCAUCCUUUGGCACAAUUCUCUCCUAUCUAGUCUUAACAACAUAAAGCAACAUGUCAAUCAGUGUGUGCAUCAGCGUUAGUUAGAGGGCAGUGGGUGUUGAAUAAAAUAUGCAGAGUCAGCGUCAACUAGCUCUACAAGGAAGGUGAUGCAUUCAAGGAAUGACACGUUGAUCUUAUCAGUUAAGAUCAAUGUCAAGAUGUAGAAAGAGGAUCCUAAGACAUUUAGAAGGUGAGAGAGAAGUUCAUACAUAGGCAAUGCUAGUAACAAAAUGUACAAUGUAUAUCUCUUUGGUAAAAUCAAAGUCAAAGGAAAGCUUUUAAUGCACAAAAUCAAAAAUAAACUAAAACUAUAGCAACUUAUGUUCAAAAAUUUAAAAGUAGCAAAGAAACAAAUAAAGUAUCAAUGUCUAUACAACCAACAUCACAAAGUUGACUAAUGGGAAUAAAAUUUCCUCAUUGCAUUUUGAAAGAACUUUAUAACUUACAUCACAAAGUUGACUAAUGGGGAUAAAAUUUCCUUUUAGACCCUCGACAUAGAACACAUCCUUCAACUUGAUUGUCAUGUAUUCAAAAGUUCCAACACCCGUAACAGCUCUUCCGCUAUUGUCACUAAAGACUAACAUUUGACCAUCCUUUUCUGCAAAAUCUGUUAAGAGGGACUUGAAACCAGUAAUGUGUCUAGAUCUUCCACUGUCUAGGUACCAAGUUUAUCCUAUAUGAUCCUUUAACAGCGUGAGAAUCAUCAACGUUAUACAUGUCAUAAGCAUAAUCAUUGAUAAGAGCCAUUAGAACCUUAACAUUUAGCCCCUUGUCAUUAGUUAUCUCCUUUUCUUCCACCCAUUCUUCAUGAUCCUCUUGUUUUGAAAUGAAGGCUUUCGGCAGAGAGAUGUUUUCCUUCUUCAUGUGGGCUGAUGAGAUUAAAAUAAUAACUUUUAAUCUAUAAAGAUCGAUUAGAUCGUGAACAAGUAUAUGAAUAUGAAACUGCAAGAACACAAUAUAAAUAACAAGGCAGAACGCAAUAAUAAGAACAAACAGCUUGAAUCAAACGUGUCGAAUGAUUAAAUAAAAUCCUUAGAAGAGCUCGAUUAAGAACAUCAACUGUAAAGGAUUGGAAGAUUACAAGAGAGCAAUAUCGUAAACUCUGGAACGCUAAAACAGAAAUCUUGAAUCUUAACCUAAUAUGCAUGCAAGCGAUAACUUAUAUACAAUACAUAAAAGGCUCUCGGUAGGACAGGCCCAAACCGGAGAAUACAAGGCUAAUCUACGAGCCCAAAAGACGCAAUACAAAACAGAACUUCAGCCCAACAAUCUCCCCCUUUGCGUCAAUUUGGAGCGAGACCAUCACUUCUUACUUGGGCCGGCGGCUGAAGCUGGUACCUUCUUCUUCACGGUACUAAACAGACACUUGGUUAUGGAAAGGAUGGUCUGUCUAAACCGGAUGUACCAAUUGAUCAUAUCUUCAAAAUAUUUGAUGUCAUCAGCCGAAUUGUCCUUACACCGCUUGAUGAUAGAUAGGACGUGUUCCAAGCAGGUAGUGGUGUAGAGGUGCUUGUCAGCUAACGCGAACAGACAUUUCUGUCCUUCGGCUCUGGUGAACAUCACAGAGUUUCGCCUCGAAUCUAUCUUGCCCAUUUUCAUCGUGUUUAGAUCACUGGCCGAUCCCACAGGCUUGACUUUCGGUUUCUUCUUAAACACUGUGGCAACCUCCUGAUCCAUUAGGGCCACCUCCAUGAUAUAGCAUGCCAGCAUCCUUUUGACAUGGUCUAAGAUGGGACCAUAUUCGGCUUCGUUUGUCAGCAAGAUGUUGUACAAGACUAUCCAAUCAUGAGGGUUCAGAUUGGGCAGAUCCGCCAGAGAGAUCAUGUGAGCAGUUCUUGCAGAUCCUCGGAUAAGCUUGAACUUGACGUUUGUGAAUCUCCCCACGGCAAACGGCUUCAUCACCCGAACAUUGACAAUCUUCUGGGCGCUCCAUGUAAGGAAUUGAGGGCGAGCGGCCUCCAGAUAAAAGUCAAUGAGCUCCCUGUCAAGCUCAUCGUUCGGAUGCGGGACUUCGUAAAUGUUGGAGAAGGCGUGGAAGAUGAACGCCUUUCGAGUCAGCGGCAUAUCAAAUUGCGAAUCGACCGAGUUGAUGCAGUCGAAUGAUAUCACCGGCUCGAGCCAUAGUAUGCUUGGAGUCUCUAUGGCCUCUUUUAUCAGUCGAUCCCUGGUCCAGGCAGGGAAGAGCAGCUUUCGGCUCUCAAGGAGAUCGUUGGCUUCUUUUUGUUUACGUUCGGCUUCUUCAGCUUCACGUGCCACACGACUGACAUCGUCAUCAGUAUUGCGACUGUUCUUUCUCUUUAACAUGUCCGCAAUAGUCUCCUUGUCUUCAUCUUCAUCUUCAUCUUCAUCUCCUCCCUCUGCAAUGUUUUUGCCCUUGUCCUUCACACCCGAACCCGAGGCAUGACCAGUUGGGGGUGGUUCGGUUGUGUGAGUUGCUUUUGAGGAAGGAGGUGGUUUCGAUCCUUUCUUCUCAUCUCCCCCUUGUUUCGGAAUGGACACGAAACUGGGUAGGCCUUCAAUUUUACUCAAGAGAGCCAUGGCCGGAGAGAGUUUCUCAGCGAGGGUACGCCUCACCGAGUGAUUCAGGAUGGGGUCGUGUGCUUCCAGGAUGUUGGAUAGAGCGGCGUGGACAUCCGAAACACACGUCUUGAUGAUUUCCCUUUCGGAUCGAAGAGCCUCCAAUUGUUGUUCGGAGUUGGAAAGUUGGGUGCUCUUGACCUUGAGGGCAGUAGUCUUACUCGCCAGGACGUCCAUCAGUUUAUUUUCAGCCGCAAGAUCCUCUUGUAGCUUUGCCAAGCGGGCUUCAAUGGAGGCACGGAGUGCCGAGUUGUCGUCGCUAAGGUUUUGUCUGAGGGUAGCGAACGAGGAUAACUCCGUCUUUACAAACUGGGCCAAUUGAUUGACAAGUGGUUCCAGAGUUGUUUUGGUGGCUUCGGCGCUUUCCUGCAUAGACUGCAGCAGGAUUGUAGCGUCAUGGAAUAGUUUAUCGACUUUUUCGGUCGCUGCCUCACAAGCUCGGGUGGAGGCGUCUAUUGCAGCAGUAGCAGAGGCCACUGAGUCAUGUUGAGCCCUAGAGAAGGCAUCAACUAUCCUCUGAAGGGCAGCUUCAGAUAAGGAUGACUGCUGAUUGGAAGAGGAGGCGAGAAGUUGAUCAACCUUCUCGUUCAGCUCGCGGAGAUGCUUCUUGGUUACAGGAGCAUCAUCCUCCUCAUCACUUUGAACUUGAAACGGACUAUAGUAGACCGAAUCAAAGUUCAGGUGAUCACCACCUAGGUAUUGAUCAUCGCCAUCGGAGGCGUCUUCUGGAGAUUGAGGUGGUGGUGAAGCUGGGGGUGUUAUGGGUUUGGUUGGUUCAGGUUGAGUAGGUGGGGGGUUAGUUUCAGGUGGUGGUUGUGUAUGGGUUUCGGUUUGAGGAGGUUCGGUUACGGGAGGGGUUUCGGUUACAGGUGGUGUUUCGGUUGAGGUGGUGAAUAUGGGUGGAGGUAUAGGGAAUGAGGUUGGUGGUAUAGUAGGGGUUAUGGUGGGAAUGGAAAUAGGUAUUGUGGGUGGAGGGGAAGGAACUGGGGAUUGGUGAAGUUCCAUCUCCGGGGUUGGGGACCGAGGGGGUGUGUUGCCUCGUAGAGGAGAGACAUCGCCUUGUGAUCCCUCAGCGUCCGAACUCUCAACUUCGGAUUCACUUGAUGAGGAGGAAAGGAUUAGCUUUCGCUUUUGUUGGGUCUUCCUCCUUUUCGGUUGUGGUGACGAGGCAGCCUUCGGUUGUUUGCGCUUCUUGGGAGUAGGUUUUGGGGCUUUGGAUGGUUUCUUCCCCUUGUCUGCCUUCUUACCCCUGGCCACCGGUUUGUCGGCAUCAUGGAUCGAUCUCAACAUGUCCGGUGUCAGUUCCCUCGGACCAGAUGGCCCUAACUCCUUGAUCGCCUUGAUCAUACUGCUGUCUGAUGGCACACUACCAUACAUCGACUCCGGGAUAGAGCCAAUGAAGGAGAAUUUCGAUGCAGCGGAUACGAUGAUCUUCGUGGUGUGGAACGUACCAAUCGAAGACAUCGGUGCACCGUCAGCAGUUUGGACAUCGAACCUGUCCAUAGCCCAUCUUGUGAUCAAGAUCCAGAACCGGGCUAGUGACACCUCGGAGUGUCGGGAAGCGGAAGAGAGGCUCUGAAUCAGUUGUUGCCAAAGGACAAAUCCGUAGUCCAGAUUGAUCCCGUUGUACACCGCAUACAUAAUCGACAGGAAAAGACGACUGGCCCCGUCCGAUCCUGAGCUUCGUUCUGACAGUCCCUUGAAGAGAACUGUAAAUAACCCAUUCCAUUGGGGCGGUAGGCAUGACUUCUUGAAUCUGGCGACGGAGGUGAGAACUUCCGUGUAGCCCAUGUUGUAGAACAUGCUGUAGAGCAUACCAACCGGAAUUGUCUCCGGGUGAACACGCGAUGGGUCAGCAGCAAACCCAAGCAUAGAGCAGAAGCGGGAACGAGAAAUCGACGUCUUGUGUUCCGCCACUUCGAAAAAGACUCUGUCAACGGCCUUGUCGUAAUAAGCCGUUGCGUAGACCUGAGAUAGGGCCACCAUUGGCACCGUUUCAAUCCGUGACAGUGCCGGAGCAAGCUGGGAGUAUUUGAGACACUCGAUGACCGGCGACAUGUAGGGAUCAUAGGCCAGUGGGUUCAGAUCAAUCACGAGGCAUUGCUGAGGACGGAUUGGAAGAAUCUGAGAAGUAGCAUGGACGGAAGAGGAUUCAGCCAUUGUUGCAGGUUGGAGAAGAAGAUAACCGGGAGAGAGUUUGGAAGUAUUUUUGCUUUGGAAAUUAUGGGGCAGUAAAGAGGUAAAAGGUGGUCUGGAUGGGUUUUUAUAGUAGGUGAUAGGAGAGAGAAAGAUCGAUUCAAAUCUCUUAUGGAAAUAUGGAAGGGUUUUUGAGUGACUGAUUGGUGACAGUUGGGACGUGCGAUGAUCACGUAGGAGAGAGAGUGUCAGAUUCCUAGGAUCACGCCGCCCAAUAAGCGCCGGUUCAGAGAGAGGAACCGUUUCCAUUUCCACACGCGCCAUUAAUGCCAGAUGGAUGACGCUUCAAUACUGCACACGCGUCCAAUAGUGUCAGAAAAAGCGCGGCCUCUUCAAAUUCACGCGCCCGCUUUUUACCGUCGUUUGAAUUUCUAUCCUUUGAACUUCCGCCGCGUCAGCAUCUUUUGUCUCUUCCCCUUUUUAACCUGCUGUCUUUUGAAUAAAACGCCCACGUGGAUUAUUGGUAACCACAACUUCAUUAUGAACCAUCCAUUAAUUAUCCAGCCUGUAAAAUAAUUAGUAACGGAAUUUUUGAAAAUCUAGGAUUUUCGUGCUAAGAGUGUAAAAGAUAAGGAAAUAAAGCAACUCUUUUUGGAAUAAUCUGUGAUGUCAAUUAUGACACGAAACUGAUGAUCCCGGGCACGAAUCUCUUCCUUCAAGAUCAAGAAAGACCUCAAAGUGUUAGUGUGGAAUCCCGUUGAAUUACGAUCAAACAUUUAUUAAUAAAUGUUGAAAGGCUUCUUUUAAUAAGACAAAUUAAGGGUGGUUUCGCUUUGAUUCAUCAAUUCAAUUCUUGAUAUAAGAACGAAUGUGAACAAAGUACUUGUGAGACCAGUGUAGUCUGUUGAACAAGUAGGUUUGAGUAGAUUUUGUAGUGGCUUGGAUUAAUAUGAAAUCUCAGAUAAAAAUUUAAAACUGGAUCCCUUGGGAAGAAAUGUUAUGGUGUGUAACAAUUUCAUUGGAACCACGCAAAAAAAAAAAAAAUUGAGAUUUCAUGAAGGUACAUUCGUCAAUUCAUUGGUGAAAACUUGAUCAAAUUAAUUUGUCACCGUCAAUUCUUUGGUGUUGAAUUUUGGGUUUCACUCAGCUCGUAGUGGCACGAAACUAAGAUCAUAAACACAGAUGUUGUGUAACCAUAAACCUCAGUGGUAGUUUCUGAGAGUCUCAAGGGUUACAGUGAUGAAACGAAUGUUAUGGAGAAGUGUAAUGGGGAUGGUGAAAGAAGACAUAGUACCUCUGCUGCGAAAGAAAGGACCAAGCAGGAGACUCUUAACUCAUGUGAGAAGAGAGUGAGGUAGCUCACGAUUAGAAUAAAUAAGUUAGCCUUAUUGGGAAGACAAGGUUUGUGUAUACCAAGUCGUGAAGGCAAUUAUUCAAAAUCUUAUGAGGCUUGGGACACAUACAGCAGCAUGCUUCUAGGGACACUUAAGUAAUUCAGCAAAUAUAUCCCCAUAAGUAAACGAACAUACAAAAAAAAUAAAAACAUAUUUUUGGAGUGUUUGAAAUUUAUAUAUAAAAAAAAAUGAAAAUAAAAAUAGAAAAGAUUAAAAAAUAAGACAAGAAAAAAAAAAACUUUUGAUUAAAAAAAAAAAUUGAAAAACCGAACCCGAACGUUCGGUUGGUUUCGGUUGGAAAAAGUUGAAAAACCGAACCCGAACCUUCGGUUGGUUUCGGUUCAGGAAAAUUUUGAAAAACCGAACCCGAACCUUCGGUUGGUUUCGGUUCAGGAAAAUUUUGAAAAACCGAACCCGAACCUUCGGUUGGUUUCGGUUCAGGAAAAUUUUGAAAAACCGAACCCGAACCUUCGGUUGGUUUCGGUUCUUGAAAAUUUUGAAAAACCGAACCCGAACCUUCUGGAGGUUUCGGUUUUGGAAAAUUUUAAGAAACCAAGGAGUUUAGAUAUGCAAAAAAAAAAACUUUUUACAUAAAGAAAAACAAAUUUUGCACAAGAAAUAUACAACACAGAAAAACUACCUUUGAAGUAAUGAGCGAGUGAAAUGGUUGAACCGAACCCGAACGUUCGGUUGGUUUCGCUUCUUACGUUUGAGAUUGAGAGGUAGUGUGAGGUACUGACUCUGAUUCCAUCAUACCUAGUCCUUGCAAAAUUUUAUUGAAUGAGGCUUCUGGAAGAGCUUUGGUGAAGACGUCAGCCAGUUGAUCAGUGGUUCUUACGAAGUGAACUUCGACAUUUCCAUCUUCCACAUGAUCUUUGAUGAAGUGAUACCUCAGUGCUAUGUGUUUGGUUUUAGAGUGUUGCACCGGGUUAUGACAGAUCCUAAUUGCACUUUCAGAGUCACAAUAUAGAGGGAUCUUCUUCAUAUUGAGUCCAUAGUCUCGAAGUUGACUCUGGAUCCAAAUCACUUGUGAUGUGCAGGAUGCAGCGGCAAUGUAUUCCGCUUCAGCAGUAGACAGCGACACACAUGUUUGUUUCUUGGAUUGCCAGCUGACCAACUUCCCAUCAAGAAAUUGACAGCCACCAGUUGUGCUUUUGCGGUCGAGUCCACAUCCUCCAAGGUCAGCAUCAGAAUAGGCUUGAACGAAGAAGCCAGAGUUGGAUGGAUACCAUAGACCUAAGGAGGCGGUUCGCUUGAGAUAGCGUAGGAUGUUCUUCACUGCCAGCAUGUGAGGUUCGCGUGGGUUAGCCUGAAAUCGAGCACAAUAACAUACAGAAAACAUGAUAUCAGGCCUGCUAGCAGUUAGAUACAUCAGUGAGCCUAUCAUUUGACGAUAGAGCGUGAUGUCGACGGCCGGUUUAUCUAGUGAAGGGGUAAGUUUGGUGCCGAAUGCCAUAGGGACUUUGACUUUUGAGUCUCCCAUCAUGCCAAACUUUGCUAGGAGAGUCUUCGUGUAAGCUUCCUGAUUGAUAAAGAUGCCUUCGGGUCCCUGUCUUAUAUUUAAACCAAGGAAAAAAUUAAUAGGACCCAUUGAGCUCAUUUCAAACUUAGUCUCCAUCAACUUUCUGAAUUCAGCUGUUAAGCUGGGAUUCGUAGAGCCAAAGAUGAUGUCAUCGACAUAAAUUUGAACUAUCAUAAGGUGGUUACCUUCCUUUUUGCGAAAGAAGGUUGGGUCAACCGAACCUUGUUUGAAUUUGGACAUCUUUAAAAAUUUUGUAAGCGUUUCAUACCAGGCUCUCGGAGCUUGUUUGAGGCCGUACACAGCUUUAUCCAGAAUGUAGCAAUGAUUUGGAUACUUUUCGUUCACGAACCCAGGAGGUUGCUCCACAUACACCGUUUCUUCAAGUUCUCCAUUGAGAAAUGCGCACUUGACGUCCAUUUGGAAGACCUCAAAGUUUUUGUGAGCAGCAUAGGCCAGAAAUAUUCUAACCGAUUCUAGCCUAGCUACUGGAGCGAACGUCUCUUCGUAAUCUAUCCCUUCCUCCUGACAGUAUCCUUUGACAACCAGGCGAGCCUUGUUUCUUAUGACAUUACCUUCCUUGUCCAUUUUGUUUCUAAAAACCCAUUUGAGACCAACAACUGAAGCAUCCGGAGGAGUUGGAAUGAGGCGCCAGACUUUGUUCCUCUCAAACUCGUUUAGUUCGUCUUGCAUAGCUUGAACCCAAUCAGAGUGAUCGAGGGCAGUGUUCACUGUCUUCGGUUCGACUUUUGAUACAAAUGAGUUAAACAUACAAAACUCAACUUUUGAGAAUAAGGAUGUCUGUUUUGCCUUCAGUUGAGAUCGGGUCAGAACCUUUUCAGAUACAUCACCAACUACUUGAGAGAUAGGAUGAUCUCUGGUCCAUUUUGUAAGAGGAGGGUAAUUCGGAUCAAAGGAUGGAUCUAGUUCAGCGUUGAUCAUCUCUUCAGGCUCGGAUUGGCUAUCAAAAUCAAGCGUCAUAUCAUCAUGCUCCCCCUCAAUUGAUGAGUCUUGACAAACGUGAGGUUCAGGGGUUUCUUGUGGUGCUGGAUUUUCAGACAUUGAAGGACCUUCGUGAGGAGGUGCAUCUUCGGUUGAUGAAGGACCUUCGGUUGAAGUAGUAGAGCUUGGCUCCCCCUGGACUUGUGAGCUAGGCUCCCCCUCGACAAGAGAAUUUGGCUCCCCCUCGACUGAAGCAUUGUUGGUUGGAGAUUCAUCAGUAGGCGAUUCUCCUUCAUGCAUUCUUCUUGCAGCAUCUUCGACAAUCUUCUUCAUAUGAUCUAUUUUGUUGUCGGCUGCCCCUGCUUCUGAGAGAGAAGCUUUUUCCGGUUCAUCAAAGAGAUCCAGAAAAUUCUCGUACAUAUUGGCGAUUGAGAUUGUGACUUGACCAGUUUGAGGGAAGAUUUCCCUGGCAGUGUCAUCUAUGGCCUGUAGCUUCUUGACAUAGCUAUCGUCGAAGGUCACAUAGUAUGUUUCUUCAAUCCUUCUUGAUCGUUUGUUUAGGACCCUGUACGCCUUUGAAGUGAGUGAGUAACCCAGAAAGAUUCCCUCGUCGGCUUUGACAUCAAACUUGUUGCGGUGUUCUUUAGAGUUAAAGAUGAAACACCUUGAGCCAAAAACGUGGAAAAAUUUCACAUUGGGCUUCCUGUUGUUUAGUAUCUCAUAUGGUGUGAGCGUGAAUCGCUUGUUGAGAUAGGACCUGUUUUGUGUAUAACAAGCAGCAGAAAUAGCAUCAGCCCAAAAAUAUAGAGGUAAGGAAGCGAAACUUAACAUAGUUCGGGCAGCUUCACACAGAGAUCGGUUUCGUCUUUCGACUAUUCCAUUCUGCUGUGGUGUGUAGGGAGCUGAGAAAUUAUGGCUAAUUCCCUUUUCUGCAAGAAACGCUUCAAACUCCCUGUUCUUGAAUUCGAGACCAUUGUCGCUCCUGAUGUUGCGAACGACCUUCUUGAGCUGGACUUCAAUUUGCUUGAUAAACACUUUCAGCUUUUGAGUCGCUUCAGAUUUGAGCUUUAGAAAGAACACCCAUGUAAAUCUAGAGAAGUCAUCAACGACAACAAGAAUGUACUUGCUACCACCGAUGCUUUCAAUAGAUGAAGGACCACAUAAAUCGAUAUGAAGCAAUUCGAGUGGUUCAACAACUUUUGUGUUAACAAUGGAUGGGUGACUUUGACGACUCUGCUUUCCCAUUUCACAUGCAGCACAUAAAUGCUCUCUGUCAAACUUGAGCAAUGGAAGACCCCUAACAUGACCUCCAGUGACAAGUCGGUUGAUAUCUUUGAAAUUGAGAUGAGAGAGUCUUCUGUGCCACAACCAGCUUUCGUCGUAUUGAGCUUUUGAUAGCAGACAAAUUGCUGGGUUUCCUUUGAUGGGUUUCAUGUUCAGCGGAAACAUUUCACCCUUUCGCUCUGACUUCAGAAUCACUUUCUUUGUUGUUUUCUCUAUGAUUUCAGAACCUUCAUCAUCGAAUGAAACUUUGAGACCUGUACCUCCAACAAGCUGAGAUACACUGAUGAGGUUGUGUUGAAGUCCUUCCACAUAAGCCACCUUUCUUAUGGUAAAAUCACCAUUCGUUAUCAUCCCAUAUCCCUUUAUGGUGCCGUAAGAGUUAUUUCCAAACUUAACGUUGCCACCAUUUGCAAGAGAUCUGUAUUCCCUGAGUUCCUCCUUCCUUCCUGUCAUGUGACGCGAGCAGCCACUGUCGAUGUACCAUUCUUCGUCAAACUGCUCGUCACUUAUAACCUGCAAAAAUUAAGCAGAUUUAGGAACCCAAAGUUUCUUGGGUCCAUGUGAGGUUUUCAUGGGAACAGGAAUAGUUAGAGAGAUAUCAACAAGAUAUGUUCUUUUAAUUAAAGUUGUUUCAUCUUUCUUUUUAAUGGUGAAAACUUUUAUUUUGUUAGGAUUGGAUUUGUUCGCUUUAGACUCAGGUUUGAAUUCACCGACUUUCUGCUUUUCCUUCUGUUCAGCAGAUGGACGUGGUUUUUGAGAACCCAUGGAAUUAGUGUUAGAGCAAGAUGGAGAUGAACAAGAAGAAUUAGGAAGAGAGGAUUUGGAUUUGGAUGGAGGUGUCUUCCUUGCUGAUGACUCUAGGUGACCCUUUUGCUUUUGAUCGUUGGUGGGUUUAACUUUUGAGUCUUGUUCUCUUCUGACUUCAGAACUGAACCUCUGAGUUCGGUUGGAGUUGUUCUUGGAAUCGAACCUUUGGUUUCGGUUGAAAUCCUUUUCAGAACCGAACCUUUGCUUUCGGUUAGAAUUUUCUUGCGAACCGAACCUUGGCUUUCGGUUGGUAUCUUCUUGCGAACCGAACCUUGGCUUUCGGUUGUUGGAAUUAUCGUGCUUUCUUACGGGAUUAUUUUCAUACUUCAGAUUCUUGUCCUUGUGUGAAUAGUAUGCAUUCUGGGAGUGCCAGAAUUGUUUCCUUUCAGAAAGGUUUUUCCUGUAUCUUAGGUUCCUUUCUAUCUUUUUAUCCCUCAUCUGUUUAGGUUGAUGAUGAACGUUCGCUUUCGCUUUUGAUGUAACCUUUGCUGAUUCCUUUUGAACUUUAGGAGUUUUUCUUUGAAACGAGGGAGCAGAGGGAAUAUCUGAAGAAGAUUCAGUUUGCCCUGAGGAAGUGGAAGGAGUAUCUGAUGAAGUUUCACUUCGAGCUGUUGGCGUUGAAGGAAUGUCUUCUUUUACUGAAUGAUCAACCUCUUGAGGAGUGUCUUUUGUACCACUUGUGCUUGGUUCACUGAAAUUAUCAGGCUUGUUCAAGGGUUCAGGUAUGUAUCUCCCUUUCUUCAUCCAAGAGGUUCUUUCAGAUAGGCCAACGGUUUCGUUUCCAUUGUCAAUAGGAGCUUCCCAGAAGAACUCAUCACAGCCAUCAGCAUUGUCUUCGUUAACAAUAGCCGUGAGUUCAGCUGUCUGAUGUUCGGUUACUCCAGUCACUUUGUAUACCUGAUUCGGAGUGGUUCUGACCUUUUGAUAGACAACAGCCUUUUCUACUAAUUUCGGGGACUUUUGUUGGGACAAUCUAGCGAAUUCCACAGAAUUUUCAGAAAUAAGAUUUUUGUGGUUUUCAGUUUCGCUUUUCACAAAUUCUGAGCAGUCAACCGUAUCCUCUACAGAAAUUUCACUCAUGUUUUCGUCCUCGUUAAGCUCAGAUGCAUUUUCAACAUCAAUUUUAUUUUCUGAGCUUACUUUGGCAUUUAGAGAGUCAAACUUUUGUAUGGUUUCGGUUCUCAGUUUAAGUCUAUCAUUUUCGUCCAACAGAUUUUUGAGCAUGUCCUUAUGGUCUUUGGAUUUAAUGAAGGACUCAAUUUUGUCCAGUCCAAUUUGAUAAGUUGGGUUGACAUCAUCAGACGAAAUCACACUCUCACAAUUGUAAGCUUCGGCAUCGAUUUCAUCCUCCUUAAAUUCUAGGAAUGGUAAAAUCAUACGGUGGAUCUUUUUGCCUAUCUCACAGUCCAAGUGCAGCUGAGUAAUAUUGGAAUAUAAACGUUUAGCUAUUAAACAAAAAACAUUUCGUUGUUUUAACAAUUUCAAAUUGUCUCUCUGCAAAUAAAUGUUUUCGUCUUUGACUUUAAUUAAUUCCGACUCUUUUAACUCAAUCCACAUACGCCGCUCCUCACUCUUCGACGCCACCCUGCUUAAUUGAUCAGUCAGGUUAGAAUUGGUGACUCUAGUUUGAGUUAAGCUACUAUCUAAAUGAGAAAUUCUUGUGUUAACGUUUUUUAGUUCUUUCUCAUAUGAGGAUGAUGGUACUUUAGAUGAAAUAAAAACAGAUUGUACCUUCUUUAUCAGUUCAUCAAGCUCAUUGAACUGUUGGCUGAGUGGUUUGGCUGUGAAGCACAUAUCUUCCUGCACUUUCGGUCCAUUGCUUCCUCCAUCGGUAUUGUAUCCCCUCAUUUGAGAUGCGCUUGACACCAUGAAGCAUUUUCCACCACUGCUUUCCUCCUUAGCCAUAUAAGCCUUUCCAUGAGUAGGCUUCCUCACUUCUUCGUCUUCUGAGUCAGUAGACCAAACUUCGGUGCUACCGAACUCAUCGUUAUUAACCGAACCCUGCACAAUAAGAGCAUUAAUAGAAGGGUUAGCGGUAGACUUUUUCUUCCUCAACUCAUCCAACCUCUUCUGCAGUACGGCUUCCUCAUCCUUUCCGUCAUCCUUUUCAGCCAUCUUUUUAAGAACACAGUCCUUAGCAUAGUGGUUCUUGCCACCACAGUAAAAACAGCUUACUCCGGAAUCGCCAUCUGCCUUCGGUUCCUUCUUGGACUCCUCAGCCUUCGGUUCAUUGUUUGCCUUUUCAGAGCUAUAACUCCCCUGCCAGUUUCGGUUUUUGUUGCUGGGGAAUCUCUUCUUUAUGAACCUCUUAGGAUUGGAUACCAUCAUGGCAUAAUCCUCAGUUGUGAGGUCAUAUUCUUCCAAGUUGAGCUCUUCAUCCUCCAUCACGGCUUUACUUUUAGAUAGGAGGGCCAACGAACCAAGACUAGACACAACGUUCUUCUCUUGAACAACAAUCUUCUCUUGGGACUUUAGAAUACCCACCAGUUUCGCCAAAGAGUAUGAUUUAAACUGUUCAUGGGCUUUGACUGUGGAAACUACUGCUCUCCAUUCCGAUCUCAGUCCGUUCAAGAAAGUAACCUUUUGUUCGAUGAGCUUCCUUUCAAUGUCGUGUUUGAUCAUCUUGCUGAGAAGAUGAUUGAAGCGAUCAAACGUCUGGGUCACGGUUUCUUCGGCCCCUUGCCUGAAUUCUCCAAACUCAGAUAGAAGCAAGGUUUGGAUGGAGUGUUCAAGAUCUUCGUCUGUUGAAUACAGUUCGCGAAGUCUAUCCCACACUUCCUUCGCCGUAGUGCAUGAGCUGACUAGUCUGAAUGUGUCGGACUGAAGGGCGAAUCUGAUCAACCUUAGUGCCUUAAUAUUGCACUGGAAUUUAUCUUUCUCAUCCUGCGCAAUAUUCGUCACGUCCUUGAGCAAAUCGUUGUAUUCUUUUUGCGUCUUAAUAACUCUGGAUGUCGCGGAAUGAGAAAAUGGUCCAUUGAUAAUGGCUUCCCAUAUGAGAAAACCAUUGUCCUCCGAUCCAAUCACGUAAUCUUCAAAAUGAUGUGCCCAUACUUCAUAGUCAUGGGUGUAUAAGAUUGGAAUCUUUGUCGUCGAACCAAUGCUGUUGGAAAUAUUAAUAGGGUUUGAUUGCGUUGCGUCCAUAAUGAUCGUAAUAACCUGUUCAAAGAUCAGACUUGUAAUAAAGCAGAUUAGGGCAAAACAAUAAAUACUAAGAUACGUCAAUUAAGAUGACGGCUCAAUAAAUAUCGAUGAUUGCGGAAAACCCUAAUGAAAAUCUUUUUCACAGAAAAGAAGUGUAUCGAUUACACAUCCUCCUGCUCUGAUACCAAUUGAUGAGAUUAAAAUAAUAACUUUUAAUCUAUAAAGAUCGAUUAGAUCGUGAACAAGUAUAUGAAUAUGAAACUGCAAGAACACAAUAUAAAUAACAAGGCAGAACGCAAUAAUAAGAACAAACAGCUUGAAUCAAACGUGUCGAAUGAUUAAAUAAAAUCCUUAGAAGAGCUCGAUUAAGAACAUCAACUGUAAAGGAUUGGAAGAUUACAAGAGAGCAAUAUCGUAAACUCUGGAACGCUAAAACAGAAAUCUUGAAUCUUAACCUAAUAUGCAUGCAAGCGAUAACUUAUAUACAAUACAUAAAAGGCUCUCGGUAGGACAGGCCCAAACCGGAGAAUACAAGGCUAAUCUACGAGCCCAAAAGACGCAAUACAAAACAGAACUUCAGCCCAACAUGGGCCAACAACUUAUUAUACAAGACUUCAUAGUUCUCUGGACUUCGAGCAUCAUUCUUCUCCUUGCAGUCCCUGGAAAAUAGUCAGGGCUUCCAUAAUUAAAGCAAUUACCUAAGUUUCUCUUCUCUGAAGUGGAUCUCCUUGAUGAACUGCUUCCUCUAAACUGAGCUCUUUGAACCCCGUUUAUUUCGCUUUCUUCAUAAUGUUUGACAAUAAGAGUAGUGUUGGCAACAAGUCCAUCAGUGAUAUCUUCAUCACUCUCCUCGCCCUUGUCUAAGUUAUCUAAUUCGUUGAUGUGCUUCAUUGCUUCCUUUCAAGAAACCAAAGCUAGAGACUUCGUCUUACUUGAGUCCUUCAUGAUUUCUUUACGAAGAGAUUUGGUCUCUUUGUAAGUCCCUAGUCUGCCUGUGUAUCAAUCAGAUCCGUUUGAUGGUGCGGAAUCUCAAUCAAACGGAUGAUGUCAGAUAAAAUAGAAGAGAAGAAGAAGAAGAAUAAGAUGAAUCUCAAUGUAUUAAUGAAUAAAAUGAUGAUCCAGAUACAAGAGAUUCACACACACACACACACACACACACACUAACACACAAUAGUUCUUCUGUCUCUCUGGCCGUAAACUCUCUAGGGUUUAUCAAUCUCUACUCCUCACCCUAACACCUCUAUUUAUACUAGGGGAACAUGGGCCGGAAACAAAUGGGCUGUAAAUGAGUUUACGGUCGUAAGGUGUUUACGACCGUAAACUCAGCCGUAAACUAGACCAUAAAUUCACAAAUAUUACACAAAAAUAUAAUUGCCUUGAAAAGCAAAGUAUAAACCAUAUUUUGACCCAACAAUCUCCCCCUUGGUUUAUAGCUUUCUUUUCUUAUUUGACCCAACAAGCUCCCCCUAAAAAGUAGCUGGCUUUUCUUGUUAAUCUUAAUCGAGAGCUUGGCUUCAGCAUUUAUCUUCAAUGAAUGACUUCAUCUUGAGCGGUUGGACAUUUCUUCAGAAUUUGGCUUUGAACGCACAUUGGGUGAGGAGGCUUGACGUACUGAUUCUUGAAAGAUGGCGCUUUCAGCUUGAGAAUCUUCAGAGAGAACAAAUCUUCUGGAUUACUUCAACAGGUACAACGAUAGCAGCAGACUGAUUGAGGAGGCUUCAAUGCAAUUCGUUACAUAAUCUUCAAUUUCUGCUUCACCUUGCUUCUAGGGUUGAAAGAUUGAAUUUGAAAGAAUAAUCUUCAUUUCUUGCUCCUUUGAAUGAGAAUUCUUCGUUGCUCACGGACGAGGCUUUGGCUCAGAAAUCUUCAACAUAAACUCCAUGAGUCUUAUCUAUACCUGAAAUCACUUUUCAAGACAAAACAAAACUAAAAGAAAACUUAGCACACAAAUUAAAACAGAAACAAAAAUAUUUUUGGAUUUUUUGAUUUUUUUUGAACAAGAAAUAAAACAGAAAUAACACUAUUUUUGGAUUUUUGGAUUUUUAAUUAGAUGAAACCUAAGGAGUUUACGGCCAGAGAGGAGAGAAACGAGAGCUCUUGUAUCCGGAUCAUUAUUCUAUUCAUUAAUACAUUGAGAUUCAUCUUAUUCUUCUUAUUCUUCUCUUCUAUUUUUAUCUGAUUUGGAUCUGACUGAUACACGGGCAAAUUAGGGACUUACAAUUGGUAUCAGAGCCUGGUUGUAUCAGUCAAAAGGAUUUAUUGUUUCGUCUGGAAUCUGAAUAAUUGGUGUUUCCGGUCCAAGCUUACGGCCGUAAACACCGAGUUCUUGGGCCGUAAACCCAAUUUUGGGGCAUUAUUUGAUCUUAUUUUCGAAAUAUUUUUGUGUUUUUGGAUAGAUCUCGCAAAAAUAAGGGGAGUUUGUUCUUCGUGUUUUUCAUAAAAAAUGGUUUUUGAUCGAGUUUUGGAGCUUCAAAGUCGAAAAAUCGCUGUUUUUCACGUAAUCGUUUAAGGGUUUUCGUCCGGAGCUUACUGCCGGAAACAUUUCACGGCCGGCGGCGGAGUUCGUGUUUGCGGCUAGGGUUUCCGAGCUUGCGGCUCGGUUGGAAGUAUACGACUCGGAUUGUCUGCGGCUCAGCUCGGUGAUCAGCUCAGCGACUGGUCUCCUCAGCAGCAGCACGCUUCAAAUAAAAAGGACGCGAAGUUGGGGGAGGCCGAGAUCGAACCCGCGACCUCUAGAUCAUUGACACAACCGCUUAGCCAACUCGACCAACUAUGACUUUGUUCCUUCCAUCCCAAAUAUUAAACUUAAACACUUCCAGCUGCACCCUAAUCUCGAAAUUUGACACUUUUAACCCCAAAAAUCAAUUUCUUUCCUUUUUAAAUAUCUUUUUCAACCAAAAAUUUUAAUUUUUAAUUUUUGACUUUUUAUUUAAAAUUUGACCUUUGACUUUCUCGUUUGACUUUUAAAUUUUCAAAUUUAUUUUUUUUGGUUUGACUUUUAAGUUUGUCUUUUCAAGUUUGACUUUUGAGUUUAACUUUUUAAAUUUGACUUUUUCAUGUUUGAUUUUUGAGUUUGAUUUUAAAAAAAAAAUUGACUUUUAAAUUUUAUUUUAGCUUCUAGUUGUGCUUUUAAUUGAUUUUAAGGUCUACGAGGGAGUUGAAAACAUGAAAGUGAGUCGUCAGGAUAUGUUAAGACAAAAUUUCAACAUUUUCGAUUAUAUCCCUGGAGAAACCCUCGAAACUUAAUUGUAGAGAUUUACUACACUCACUACUGGGAUGAAUAUAGCCGGGAUCUUCUUGUCCAAAUCAGAGAUAAACAAAAAGCUGCUAAAUUCACUUCCGAAAUCGUGGGAUAUAAACGUAGCUGUCAUCAAGAACACAAAAGAUCUCAAUCGUGUUAGUAUUGCUGAAGUAAUUGAAGAGCUUGACGCUUUAAAGAGUUCUGUAAACCUUCUGGUCAAUGAAGUGUCAUGUUCUCAUUCAUGUGAAGUUUCAUGUUCUCAAUCAUGUGAAGAUACGAUUAAGUUUCUUCGAGAACAAAUUGAUGUAUUUAAAAGAGAAGUUGAGGACCUGAGAUAUGAAGGAUAUCAACUCAGGAAAGGACAGAAACCCCUGAAGGCUGAGUUAGAAGCAAAAACCAAGGACUUUAGGAAACUUCAGGAAGACUACAGUAACAAAUGUGAAAACUAUGAUUAUGUAGUCAAACAAAAUGCUGAGCUAGUGGCUGAAGUUGAAUCUUUGAAAGGAAAGUUUGAAACCGCCAAACUUGAUGUUAGAAAAUAUGAUUUCUCAAGUGAGGUGGUUGCAAAUAUGAUAGACCAAAGCAUGCAGUUUAAAAGGAAUCAAAACAAGGGUCUAGGGUAUGAUAGUGUACCUCCUCCUUAUAAUCAUAACUACACAUCCAUCCCUAUAACAAAGAAAGAAAUUGACAGGGAGGCACAUCUUCAAUAUGGAAAACGAGCUGGAUUUGUGUCAGGAGGUGUUAUUAAUAUUGAAGAUACUAAUGAUGCUACUUCUUGUGCAGGCAAAGUAACAGAAGAUGAGAACAAGGAGAAAACCAUUGAACAAUCCAACAUCUCCUUGAACUCUGAAUCUGUUGCUUCGAACUCAACUGCUUCUGAUCAACCUGCCGUUGGUAAAUACAUGCCACCAAUUCCAACGCAACAGAGUUCUUGUGGCAAGUGUGCAUGUGGGAACAACAAGAGACAAGGCAAGGAUACGCCACCAGGGGCAGGAAGAAACAACUUCACAGUGAAGAAAAAGACAUGUUUUCACUGUGGAACACCUGGACACAUUGCCAGAAACUGUCCAAAUCGCGCAUACAUUCCCUACUACGCACAAGGGUGGCAGAACGCGCCAAGAGGGAGAUAUUUCAAAAGAAACCCCUCAAGGUCGCGUUCAGACCAUGAUGACUGGAACGUGCAGAAGGCCAAGAAUCAAUCCCACAAGGCCAAGAAUCAAAAUCCCAAGGGCAAGAAGGGAAUGUCGGCCAAGAAGCCAAAUCCAAGAGAUGCUCCCAUGAAGUCAAAAUCAAAGUCAUCUCAACGGCCGACAUCAACUUCAAAAUCAAGUGCUGAGCCACCCAUCAGAUCGAAAAAGAAAUGGGUUAAACCCAACUACAAAUGGGUUCCAAAGGCUCACUCUCCCAAAUCAACUAAUGACUCUAAUAUUUCUUCAUCUUCUGUUUGUGAUAAACAGGAUAUGUCAUGGGAGAGAGUACCGUGCAAGGAUGACAAAGGUCGACCCAGUUUCAAAAUGGACUGGGUUCCAAAGACCAACUGAUCCCGCUCUGUGUCGGAGCAGCUAUGGAGGCAUAUCAUCAGACUUCGGUUUGUUGGUAGUGGCUGUUCCUGGCACUUGAUAGGGGACAUCUCUCAACUGUACAACAUUCAGACAUUUGUUUGAGAGUAUGUGUCCUUUGCGGGAAGGGAAGAAAGGAAGGGAUCACAUGGGGUUUGUGCUUAACGACAUGAAGAAUUUUCGGAUCUGUUCUGAGAUUACGCGUGCUGUUCUCAGACCUUCUGGAUGCAAAUUCAAUCGGUGACUUACGGUUUGAGUUUUCUUCUCUAUACUCCUGAGUUUUUCUUAAGCUGAUUCGCUUUAAAGACUAAUUUUUGUUUUAGGAUAGUUUAAAUUUGCGCAUUUACUUUCGUUUCUCUCUUAUGCACAAAUUUAGGGGGAGAAAUAAAAACAAAACAAAAAUUAGAAAAUUUUAAAAAUCCAAAAACAUUAGAAAAUCAGAUAAUCAAAAAAAAAUUGUUGGUUAUGAAAUGUGCUGCUUGAGGGAGAUGUUCUGGGAAGUGAUAUGAUAAAGUGAUAACAGGCAACCUGAGUCUGCGUAACGUACCCGAAGUUGAAGGGUCUAUGCUCUGGUUUGAUGCGUCGGUAGGCACGAAAAUUUUUAAAAUGGACUUGACUAGGGAGAGUUGAACUUAGGAAAUUUAUAGACUUGACAAAUCUUGACCUAGUUAGAUCCGUUCAGCCUGACAAUACGACGCUCGGAUAGGUUGAGCAGGGAGAUAUAUAUGGGAAUCUACUCGUCACAUUAAUUGAACCCGUACUUGGAACCGUGGUUUAACUUUUCCUCGAUGUGCGGAUUCUGUCCUUAAUUCCGGUUGGAUGGGGCAACUGGUAAAUUCCGAUAAAUUAGGUCUGUAAAAUAUCAUUUUCUUUCUUUCCGUCUGUUAGUCAUGUGUUGUAUCCUUUGCACGACUUCUAAUCCGACCUGGUACACAAUAUAUGCAACUCUAUUUCUCUAUAGGCUAUAUAUAUGUGAAAUACUUCUUAUCUGUUAGCCAUAUGCUGUCUCCUUUGCGCGACUUCUAAUCCGACCUGGUACACAACAUAUGCAACCUUCUUCUUCUCAACCCCUCUGAAGUAGUUAGCAAUAGAAUUCUGAAUCUCUCCUCUCUCUGAAUGGUUGUCUGCUCACCCGGUGUAAGGAGUACUCUGGAAGUUCUUGAUGGCUGUGGCUUAUCAGGAAGUGGGAAACACGUUCCAGUGCACUUAAAAUUGAACUCAUACAGAUUGUCUAUAGAUCUCGCUGCUCAAUUUAGUUGGACAACAAUAUCCCUAGUCGUCGUCAGUUGAAUGGUCCUUAAGAUAUAGUAUUGAGGAACUUAGGAUCAUAUAUAAUAUCUAGGAACUUAA
rnacentral:lncRNA from 1 species